GUAGUCUGCAACCCGACUACAUGAAGCCGGAAUCGCUAGUAAUCGCGGAUCAGAAUGCCGCGGUGAAUACGUUCCCGGGUCUUGUACACACCGCCCGUCACACCAUGGGAGUCGGGAAUGCCCGAAGCCUGUGACUGAACCGAGAGGGAGGAGCAGUCGAAGGCAGGCCUGAUGACUGGGGUGAAGUCGUAACAAGGUAUC
rnacentral:rRNA from 1 species